rnacentral:misc_RNA from 1 species
UGUUAAUAAGAGGCUAAAAUUAAAUGUUUUUGACACUGAAACAUUAAUUGUCACUUCAUAGAUUUUUUGGGGACGCAUAAUUUUUCACAAAAGAAAACGCUGGGUAGCUGAAGGUAAACACCAUCUUGUUUCUUGCUAGGAUCUGUCCUUAACGUGAUUUUUUGAGAGAGAAAUACAAAUCAUCUGGAAGCCACCACAAAUGAAUCUAACUGAAAGUUCCAUAAUCUUAUAAUAGUACUUUAAAGACGAUUCAAUUAGUCCCUCAAGAGUAAUGAGAUACAGCCCUACCCCACAGACAUAAUAAGACCCAUUCCAAUGAGCAAUUUCAGCAGCAGCAGCAUACUUGAUUACCAUCUGAACUUCUCUACCUGAGCUGCAAAUAGUUGUACGCAUCUUUACUUCUUGUCCUCUUUCUGUUCCUUAUCAUUGUCCUCAUCCUUCUUCUCGGACUGCCCUUGCAUGGAAGCAAGCAAAUCUUUGACAGAAGGAUCGUUUGGAUCAACACCUGGAAGUGAGGCAAGGAUUGAUGACACAAAUGAUUGAUCUGCCAACAGCUUACUCAUAUCUGUCGGAUUUGACUGAUCAUUUGUACUGUCUUGCACAGACAGUUGAAGAGCAAGUGCCAAGUCUUGAUCUUCAGAAGCCGCUUCUGACAUGUCAGUGUCUCGUGUAGCAACAUUGGAGGACGAGUCAUCCAUCGACAUUGCAAGGGCUUGCUGUAACAAGGCAUUCUCAUCAUCCAUUAGGUCAGUUGCUUUGCUUUCAGGCUCAGAAGUUCCUGCAUUGACAUUUUCAGCCAUAGCAACAUCCUGAGAAGUAGACUGAUUUUCUCCUUUCUCUUGGUUACCAGCUUCUUCUGCAGCCUUCUUUGCAGCUGCUUCCUGCCUCGCCCUUUCUUCCUCCAUUGAAACUCGGAGUGCGAGAGCAAGUUCUGGAUCCAAAUUAGGAUCUACACCAAAAUCAUAUCCAGACACUCCACCAGCAGCAGCCGCUGCAGCAGCAGCAGCAAAUCCACUGCCACCUUCUCCAUCACCAGUGAAAAUAGGAGUACUUAUGAGAACAUCAGAGAGAGCAUUAGGACCAGGAGGAAUAUGAAUGAUGUGACUACUGUCGUUGGUAUUAAGCGCAGCAACUAGUGCCUCUAGCUUCUCAGCUUUCCCUUCAUCAUCUUCACCAAAAUUAACCACAUCAAGAGCUACACUAUUCUUCUUCAACUUUCUCCCAAUCAUCUCCAAGACCUUCUUGUCAUAUUUAACAGGGCUGCCAGCAAAAACAAUAAUCCUUUGUUGUUGCUUCUUGUUUUGUCGGUGCUUCAAAGCCAACUGGGCUACCUGGAUUCCAGCAGCCAAAUUCAUCUCACCGCCUAUCUCCAAUCCGUGCAUACAAGCUAAAAUUUUUCCAAGAUCGCUGGUCGGAGUGACUAACACUCGAACCCCUUUACCAGCCAUCGUCAAAAUUCCAACUGUAUUCUCGGGAUUAGACUGGGUUUUGGCACCACAGAUUAGAUUAACAGCGUCUGCUAGAGCUUGGAACCUAUUGGGCGAGUAAUCACCGUUUCUCAUCCACUCCGAAUUGUCGAUGCAGAUCAUUGUCGCCUCGAGCACCAUG